UAGAAAUACAAGGGUGGACGGUGGAUGCCUUGACACAACAUGGCGACGAAGGACGUAGCACGACAACGAUAAGCCUCGGGGAGAUGUCUAGCAAUCGCUAAUCCGGGGAUUUCCGAAUAGGGAAACCUAUGAGAACUUGAUUCUCAUGUUUUAACAUUAAGUUAAUUCGCAAACUCAGGGAAGUAAAACAUUUCAGUACCUGAAGGAAAAGAAAACAAGCACGUAUGUGCACCAUUUCCUAAGUAGCGGCGAGCGAAAAGGAAACAGCCCAAACCGUAGCUUUCCGAUGCAUCACGUUUUUAUUUUUCGACUAUUCAUUUAUGGAUUGUCUAUUUAUAUUAGCUUGAUGCAUUGGGUAGCUUGGUGUUGUAGGGCAGUAGAUGAAUAUUUAUAUUCGAAGAGUUACAAAGUAUAAUGUUAGCAGAAUAAGCUGGAAAGCUUGACCCUAGAAGGUGAUAGUCCUUUAUGCGAAAACAUUAUAUCUCUUACUACUGUUCCUGAGUACCCCAGGACACGAAUAGCUUGGGGGAAUCCAGCAGUACUAACUGCUAAGGCUAAAUACAUGUUGUGAUCGAUAGUGAACAAGUACCGUGAGGGAAAGGUGAAAAUUAGUCCGGGAGGACGAUGAAAUAAUACUGAAACCGUCACACCUACAAGGAGUCAGCGCGGGCAUUUAUGUCCGUCAUGGCGUGCCUAUUGAAGAAUGAGCCAACGAGUUAAUAUAUAUGGCGCGGCUAAGACCGAAAAGGUCGGAGUCACAGGGAAACCGAGUACUAAUAGUGCGUCUUUGUCUUAUAUAUUAGACCCGAAGCCAAUGCGAGCUUAUCAUGGACAGGGUGAAGUCUGUCGAAAGACAAAUGGAGGCCCGAACCCGUAUGUCGUUCAACUCAUUGGGAUGAUCUGUGAUAAGAAGUGAAAAGCUAAUCGAGCUUGGUAAUAGCUGGUUCUCUCCGAAAUAGCUUUUGGGUUAGCGUCACGUGUUCCUCUUGGGGGUAGAGCACUGGAAGAGUUCGACAGGGAGCAAUCUCGCGAACUCUAUCAAACUCCGAAUACCAAGAGUUAAGAACGUGGCAGUUAGACCGUGGGGGCGAAGCUUCACUGGUCAAAAGGGAAACAGCCCAGAUCCAUACUUAAGGUCCCUAAAUCUAUGCUCAGUGCUAGUAAGGAUGUAAGAUUUCUUUGACAAUGAGGAGGUUUGCUUAGAAGCAGCAAUCCUUUAAAGAUAGCGUAACAGCUCACUCAUCAAGAGAUUUUGCGCCACAAAUGAUCGGGGCUCAAGCAUAGUACCGAAAUUUGGGAUUUAUAAAUUCUUAGGAAUUUAUGAGUGGUAGGAGAGUGUUUGCAUCGCGAUGAAGGGAAAGGGGUGACCCAUCCUGGAGCAUUGCAAAGUAAGAAUGUUGGCACAAGUAACCACAAUCGAUGUGAAAAACAUCGACGCCGAAAGAUCAAGGUUUCCUCAGCUACGAUUGUCGACUGAGGGUUAGUCAGGCCUAAGGGGAUGGUGAGAACCGAACCCGAUGGACACAUGGUUAAUAUUCCAUGACUUUGAUAUAGAGUGACGGAGUGACGGAGUGUAGUAUGUAACGCAGAUUAUUGAAUUUCUGUUUGGGUUGUAAGAUCGCAGCUUAGGUAAAUCCGGGCCGCUGACUUUAAUGUCAAUAUCAAGCAAUUUGACGUAAGGUUACAAAGCACGCUUCCAAGAAAAGCUUCUAAACUUAUCUAUAUUAAAACUGUACCGCAAACCGACACAGGUGAUCAGGUCGAGUAGACCAAGGCGAACGAGUGAGAGGUCUUCAAGGAACUCGGCAAAAAAGCAACCGUAACUUAGGGAUAAGGUUCGCCUACCGCAAGGUAGGCCUCAGCAAAAGUUUUUCCAGCGACUGUUUAUCAAAAACACAGCUCCCUGCGAACUCGCAAGAGUAUGUAUAGGGGGUGACACCUGACCAAUGCCAGAAGGUCAAAUAUUGGCGGUAACAUAGCAAUAUGGUGCUGACCGAUAUAAGCCCUGGUGAAUGUCGGCCGUAACUAUAACGGUCCUAAGGUAGCGAAUUUCCUUGUCGGGUAAGUUCCGACGCGCACGAAUGGUGUAACGACUGGAAAACUGUCUCGAAGACUCGCUCGGUGAAAAUGCAAUAGCGGUGAAGAUGCCGCUUACCUGCAGUUAGACGAAAAGACCCUAGAAGCUUCACUACAGCUUGGUAUUGAAUAUACGUUUUUAUUGCGUAGAAUAGAUGGGAGAAUUUGAAGCAUAGAUUUUGGUUUAUGUGGAUUCGUCAGUGAAAUACCAUUCUAUAAAAGUGUAUAUUCUAACCUCAACGGAAAAAACGGUGAGGAACAGUAUCUGGUGGGUAGUUUUAGUGGGGCGCUAUCCUCCCAAAAAGUAACGGAGGAGUUUACUAAGGUCCACUAGGCGCGGAUGGAAACCGUGCCGAUAGCGCAAUGGCACAAGUGGGCUUAACUGUGAGACGUAAAUGUCAAGCAGAUACGAAAGUAGAACAUAGUGAACCGACCCUUUGCAUUAGAUGCAGGGGAAGAUUAUCUGACAAAAGCUACUCUAGGGAUAACAGGCUAGUUCCGCCUAAGAGUCCUUAUCGACGGCGGAGUUCGGCACCUCGAUGUCGGCUCGACUUAUCCUGGGGCUGGAGAAGGUCCCAAGGGUUUGGCUGUUCGCCAAUUAAAAAGUCACGCGAGCUGGGUUCAGACCGUGUAGGUCCCAAUAUUAUUUAUUUUACGCAAGUAAUUUAUUUAUAAUUGGUAUCUACACAGUCUGAAUCCACACGAGGAAAAUAAAAUAACUAACAAAGAAUGUUGAGAUUAACCAUACUAUUAAAUUAGUAUAUUGCGGCGGUCACUUAUAGAAAUAUAUAUGAUAUAAAGUUAACUAAUAUCGGUGAAAUCCUACGGACGAAAUGUCCGGGACAAUACCGAGGGAAGAUUAGCUCUGUAAAAAGAAUUGGUUACCCGUAGAGACUACACGUUAACCAUCUUAACUCAUAUGAGAAAGAUGAUGAUAUAGUCCAAUGCACACAGUAAUGUGUGAAAGACAUGCGCAAGACAGGUUGGUCUCCUAUCUACUGCAGGCGUUGAUAUUUGAAGGGAUUUGUCUCUAGUACGAGAGGACCGAGAUGAACUGACCUCUGGUCUACCAGUUGUCGCGUCAGCGGCACCGCUGGGUAGCUAUGUCGGGAAUGGAUAAGCUCUGAAUGCAUCUAAGAGCGAAGCCAGCCCUAAGAUUAGAUAUCGUUAUGAGACUCGUGAGAGAUUAUCACGUUGAUAGGCACCAGAUGUAAGCAUAGCAAUGUGUUUAGUCGAGGUGUACUAAUUAGUCCAUA
rnacentral:rRNA from 1 species